rnacentral:misc_RNA from 1 species
GCCAAAGAACUUGCGGAAGAAUCUUGCUUAAUUCUUGCGCUGAUGUGUAAACACAGCCGCAAGCGGCUAGCAAUAACUUGCAGCAAUAACUUCUGCAAGCGACUUUCUAGUGUAAACGCAGCUUUAGACUUUGGUCUAACAUUAGUCUGUGCUUUGCAAUGUUGUAAUUGGUCGUCGGUCGAUUUAGAAGUGAAGUUUGUUUGUAAACAAACGAAGAGGUGGUGUGUUAAGAAGUAGGACUUGUGGCCUAUAGUACCAAAUGUCAUUGUUUAUGUGGCAAAAGCAAUACAGUUAACGGAAUAUCAUUUCAAAAAUAUAUUCAUAAAGUGUGCUUCCAGUGAUGUCGAAACGAUCAGUGGUAUGGUCAGCAAAGUUGAUCUUGCAGCACUUCAUCCGAAAAAAGCUGUUCACGAGAGAUCAUAGCAGUUUCUUUUCCGGCGCUAGGAAGUGCGUUUAUAUAAGUAGUGCCUGUUAUGUUGAGGGACGCAGAGAAGAAAGUGCUAUCAGCAAUUUUAAUUCAUCACGAGUAACAACUCAACAAAGUCCACAGGAGCUCCUUAUCCAAAAUGCAGUGAGCAGAGAUGAGCCUCUCACACUGGAGGAGUGGUCGUCAUUAUGCGAGGAAAUACUGGUCAGCAAAGGCAGACUGAAACCUACAACACUGGCUGCAUAUAUAAUGUCACAGUGUGUCAGAACCAGUAAUCUAAAAGUGGGUCUAUCGUUGCUGACAUACCUGGAAUCCACAGCUUCUGGACCAAACCUUGCGACAUUAAGUGCUUUCUUCAAGCUUUGGCAUGCUUGUGGAGGAAGUUAUGAAGAAAAGGAAAUGUUGUCACGAUAUGACAACUUGAGAAAACAGUAUCCUCUGUUAGAUGCUGCUACAUCUGAAAGUGCUGCAAUGGCACUUUCACGUACUUCGAGGUGGCAAGAUGCUUUUGAACUACUGGAUAUGAUUAAGCUGACCCACCAUCCUAAAUCUGCUGUUUACACUUCCUUGGCUGUUGCUGCAUUUCGUAAUGGAAAUAAUGAACUUGCCCACUCAGUCAUGGAGGAAAUAUUUGAACGGGAUGAUAGACGACCGGGUCCUGAGGCCUAUUUGGCUUGGCUGCAGCACAGUGAUCCAGAAGAACUGUUACAAUUUAUUGCAACCCAUGGAGAAAAGCCUACUGACGAAGUAGUGUGUGCUUUGUCUGAGAAGCUGGAAGCUGACAGAGGAUUUCAAGCAAAUUUUACAACUGUAAACAAGAGGGGCAUUUGCCAGACAUGUAACAAUCAGUUGACACCACAGCUUCCCACACCAACUGAAUAUAAGCAGUUACAGGUGGCAAUGUUGGACCGGGUUUUACUAUCGGAUGAUGUAUUUCUUAAGACAUCACCUAAAGAGGUUGUUCACUUUCAAGACAUGUUAAAGAAGAACAGAACUUGGGAUGUAGUAAUAGAUGGCCUGAAUGUGGCAUUUGCUAGUGGCUCUUCUUCUAGUAGCAGUCAUGCCAAGCUGCUUUUUCUUGUAGUGGAACAGUUCUGGCGGCAAGGGAAAAAAGUGCUUGUACUUGGUCGCAAACACAUGAAAAACUGGCCCAAAAGACAGAUGGAAUCACUUUCUAAUUGUGCUCAGUUGUUUCUAGCUGACAAUUUAUCACAGGAUGAUCCUCUUGUACUACUAGCAGCACUACACAGUGGGCUUGGAACAAAAAUUGUUUCACGAGAUCUAAUGCGUACACACAUGUUCCUGCUGAAGGACAAGGAGCUUCGCAGUAUUUUUAGGCGCUGGCAGUAUUCACAUCAAUGCUUCUUUGAAAUUAAAAAUAAUGGAAGAGUUGUAAUUAAGGAUCCAUUGCCAUUCCACCCAUUUGCUCAGCAUCAUCAUGAUGGUUCAUGGCAUCUGCCUUAUGAGGUCCCAGGCUCAUCCCCAAAUAAGAGAUAUAAUCAUUUGGAAGUCCCAGAACAUUGGUUGUGCCUCUCAAAAGUAUAGGGAAGUUUUCUAAACAUAUAAGAAACUCAUGUAGAGGAAAGAAGGGAAAAGUAGCCAGGGCAGCACAAAUGACCACUGCAGAUUUUUUGCCAUGAACAAUGUUGCUGCCUACCGCGGAGCGGUCAAACCAAUUCUAAUAGACAUCAACAUUGUCAGUGAAUUUGGCAAAGGACGUAAGCUCCUCUAUUUUUCAAUAAAAAAAUUUCUGAUUUUCGUCAUCUAAUGUAAGCUUCUUCCUCAUCUGGCAAGUGACCAAAAGGUUCAGAAGAGAUUGAUGCAACACUUGUCAAAAUGACACGAGAAUCACUGCUUGAUGUCAGCACAAGCUGAUCGUGGAAAUGAUUGUAUCUUAUACUCCACACCCUGAAGAAAUAAGUUGUAUCUGUCACUAACAAUUAAAACAUAUGAAAUCAUUUGCUGCAAAUUUCUUUUAUGGGUUGCUGUUACACUUGAAUUGGAAUGUACAAGUAAAUAAAAUUUGU